UACAGAGGGUGCAAGCGUUAAUCGGAAUUACUGGGCGUAAAGCGCACGUAGGUGGUUUGUUAAGUCAGCUGUGAAAUCCCCGGGCUCAACCUGGGCACUGCAGUUGAAACUGGCAAGCUAGAGUAGGGUAGAGGGGUGUGGAAUUCCAGGUGUAGCGGUGAAAUGCGUAGAUAUCUGGAGGAACAUCAGUGGCGAAGGCGACACCCUGGACUCAUACUGACACUGAGGUGCGAAAGCGUGGGGAGCAAACAGG
rnacentral:rRNA from 1 species